rnacentral:rRNA from 1 species
AACGAACGCUGGCGGCAGGCUUAACACAUGCAAGUCGAACGCACCGCAAGGAGAGUGGCAGACGGGUGAGUAACGCGUGGGAACCUACCCCUUGGUACGGGAUAGCUCCGGGAAACUGGAGAUAAUACCGUAUGUGCCCUGAGGGGCAAAGAUUCAUCGCCAAAGGAUGGGCCCGCGUCGGAUUAGCUAGUUGGUGGGGUAACGGCCUACCAAGGCGACGAUCCGUAGCUGGUCUAAGAGGAUGAUCAGCCACAUUGGGACUGAGACACGGCCCAAACUCCUACGGGAGGCAGCAGUGGGGAAUAUUGGACAAUGGGCGCAAGCCUGAUCCAGCCAUGCCGCGUGAGUGAUGAAGGCCCUAGGGUUGUAAAGCUCUUUCACCGGGGACGAUAAUGACGGUACCCGGAGAAGAAGCCCCGGCUAACUUCGUGCCAGCAGCCGCCGUAACAC